UACGUAGGUGGCAAGCGUUGUCCGGAUUUACUGGGCGUAAAGAGCGCGCAGGCGGUCGUUCAAGUCGCGUGUGAAAGCCCCCGGCUCAACUGGGGAGGGUCACGCGAUACUGAUCGACUCGAAGGCAGGAGAGGGUAGUGGAAUUCCCGGUGUAGUGGUGAAAUUCGUAGAUAUUGGGAAGAACACCGGUGGCGAAGGCGGCUCUCUGGACCGAGACUGACGCUGAGGCGCGAAAGCGUGGGGAGCAAACAGG
rnacentral:rRNA from 1 species